UGGGGGAUAUUGCACAAUGGGGGAAACCCUGAUGCAGCAACGCCGCGUGAGGUAUGAAGGCCUUUGGGUUGUAAGCCUCUGUCCUAGGGGAAGAAAAAAAUGACGGUACCCGAGGAGGAAGCCCCGGCUAACUACGUGCCAGCAGCCGCGGUAAUACGUAGGGGGCAAGCGUUAUCCGGAAUUAUUGGGCGUAAAGAGUGCGUAGGUGGUCUACUAAGCGCGAGGUGAAAGGCAAUGGCUCAACCAUUGUUAGCCUUGCGAACUGGCAGACUUGAGUGCAAGAGAGGAAAGCGGAAUUCCUAGUGUAGCGGUGAAAUGCGCAGAUAUUAGGAGGAACACCGGCGGCGAAGGCGGCUUUCUGGAUUGUAACUGACACUGAGGCACGAAAGCGUGGGUAGCAAACAGGAUUAGAUACCCUGGUAGUCCACGCCGUAAACGAUGAGCACUAGGUGUCGGGACAUGAGUCUCGGUGCCGCAGUUAACGCAAUAAGUGCUCCGCCUGGGGAGUACGCACGCAAGUGUA
rnacentral:rRNA from 1 species